CAGUAGCCACGGGAAUACGAAGGGUGCAAGCGUUACUCGGAAUUACUGGGCGUAAAGCGUGCGUAGGUGGUGGUUUAAGUCCGUUGUGAAAGCCCUGGGCUCAACCUGGGAAUUGCAGUGGAUACUGGGUCACUAGAGUGUGGUAGAGGAUAGUGGAAUUUCCGGUGUAGCAGUGAAAUGCGUAGAGAUCGGAAGGAACAUCUGUGGCGAAGGCGACUAUCUGGGCCAACACUGACACUGAAGCACGAAAGCGUGGGGAGCAAACAGGAUUAGAUACCCCGGUAGUCCCUGUCUCUUAUAC
rnacentral:rRNA from 1 species